rnacentral:rRNA from 1 species
CACGUAGGGCGCGAGCGUUGUCCGGAAUUACUGGGCGUAAAGCGUGCGUAGACGGUAGCGUAAGUCAGAUGUGAAAGCCCCGGGCUCAACCUGGGAAUUGCAUUUGAGACUGCUCUGCUCGGGUGCGGAAGAGGGAAGCGGAAUUUCCGGCGUAGCGGUGAAAUGCGUAGAUAUCGGAAGGAACACCAGUGGCGAAAGCGGCUUCCUGGUCCGACACCGACGUUCAGGCACGAAAGCGUGGGGAGCAAACAGG